rnacentral:rRNA from 1 species
CCCUUAGAUGUUCUGGGCCGCACGCGCGCUACACUGACGGAUUCAACGAGCUUACAACCUUGGCUGAAAGGUCUGGGUAAUCUCCAAAAUCCGUCGUGAUGGGGAUAGAUUAUUGCAAUUAUUAAUCUUCAACGAGGAAUGCCUAGUAAGCGCAAGUCAUCAGCUUGCGUUGAUUACGUCCCUGCCCUUUGUACACACCGCCCGUCGCUCCUACCGAUUGAAUGGUCCGGUGAAGCGUUUGGACUAUGGUUUUCUGAUGGUCCGCCGUUGGAUUACCGUGGGAAGUUCGUUAAACCUUAUCAUUUAGAGGAAGGAGAAGUCGUAACA